CAUGAAGAAGGAAUUCAAGCUCUGACAUGAGGAUUCCAGUGGAUUUCAGGUGUUCUGCACCUGGGAUCUGAAGACUUCCUACUUAUCCACUUGAAAUUUACGGUUGCUGCUCUGAACUAGAAAGAUUUAUGAAGUAUGACUGCUGAAGCAAGGUUUGUCAGCAGCAGAAGAUAUAUUCUGAGUCGAUCUCUUCUUUAAUGACAUCACGCUUGGUUAUUAAGCCCAGUGCUAAGUCUCAAACAAUGCAUGGUACAAACAACAAAAAAAAAAAAAAAUGAAAGGAAUGAGAGGAAGGAGGGAAGAAACAGCUGACUACAAACACCCUGAAAGAGGCUUAUGAUAAAAAAAAAAAAAA